UUCUGGUUGAUCCUGCCAGAGGCGACCGCUUUUGGAGUUCGAUUAAGCCAUGCGAGUAGAAUGAAUUAGAUCAUUGCGAACUGCUCAGUAACACGUGGAUAACCUGCCCUAUGCUCUGGGAUAACCUUGGGAAACUGAGAAUAAUACCGGAUAGAUCACAACGCCUGGAACGGUGUGUGGUUCAAAGGUCACGGCAUAGGAUGGGUCUGCGGCGUAUCAGGUCGUAGGGGGUGUAACGGACCUCCUAGCCAUCGACGCGUACGGGUUGUGGGAGCAAUAGCCCGGAGAUGGAUUCUGAGACACGAAUCCAGACCCUACGGGGUGCAGCAGGCGCGAAAACUUCACACUGCAGGAAACUGUGAUGAGGGAACUCCAAGUGACUACACAUUUGUGUAGCUCUUUUCUUAACUAUUAAUCGGUUUUGGAAUAAGGGCUGGGAAAGACCGGUGCCAGCCGCCGCGGUAAUACCGGCAGCUCAAGUGGUCGUCGCUUUUAUUGGGCCUAAAACGUCCGUAGCCUGUUUGGUAAAUCUGUGGGUAAAUCAACCAGCUUAACUGGUUGAAUUCUGCAGAGACUGCCAGACUAGGGACCGGGAGAGGUGUGGGGUACUCUAGGGGUAGGGGUAAAAUCCUGUCAUCCUUAGAGGACCACCAGUUGCGAAGGCGCCACACUAGAACGGAUCCGACGGUCAGGGACGAAGCCUAGGGGCACGAACCGGAUUAGAUACCCGGGUAGUCCUAGGUGUAAACGCUGUGAACUUGGUGUCGGGAGUCCGCAAUGGGCCCCCGGUGCCGGAGUGAAGAUGUUAAGUUCACUGCCUGGGGAGUACGGUCGCAAGGCUGAAACUUAAAGGAAUUGGCGGGGGAGCACUGCAACGGGAGGAGCGUGCGGUUUAAUUGGAUUCAACGCCGGGA
rnacentral:rRNA from 1 species